AUUAAUAGUAUCGGUUCCUCGUAACGGUUCUAUCGGAGCCGCAUCGUUGGGCGCUCAGCGUGAUGCGCCUGUAGAGCGAAAAGCGCCCUCUGUUCGCUCGGAUGACAGACCACUUGCGACUCAAGGAGACAUGCUCAACAGUAUUAAGUUUCAAAGAAGACUGCGGGAAAAUAUAACUUUAGAAAGACAUGGCAAUAAAUCAAAUGAUAAAGCUAG
rnacentral:misc_RNA from 1 species